AUUGAACGCUGGCGGCAGGCCUAACACAUGCAAGUCGCACGAGUGGCGGACGGGUGAGUAAUGUCUGGGAAACUGCCUGAUGGAGGGGGAUAACUACUGGAAACGGUAGCUAAUACCGCAUACCAUCAGAUGUGCCCAGAUGGGAUUCGCUUUGUGGAGGGGGAACGGCUCACAAAGGAGACGAUCCCUAGCUGGUCUGAGAGGAUGACCAGCCAAACUGGAACUGAGACACGGUCCAGACUCCUACGGGAGGCAGAAGUGGGGAAUAUUGCACAAUGGGCGCAAGCCUGAUGCAGCCAUGCCGCUUGUAUGAAGAAGGCCUUCGGUUUGUAAAGUACUUUCAGCGGGUAGGCGUUACCCGCAGAAGAAGCACCGGCUAACUCCGUGCCAGCAGCCGCGGUAAUAC
rnacentral:rRNA from 1 species